rnacentral:sRNA from 1 species
GCGUCUGCGCACAGCACUACUGCCUCUAAUAGCCUUAACUGGACGUGGCUGAUGGGUGUGACAGAGGCUGUCCCGCCCCUUUCUUUCCCAUCCCUUUCCUUUCUCCUCAGUCCCCACUUCCUGGGUCCCAGAGGAUCCAAUCUAGGAGCAGCAAUCUGUAAGGCUGUUCUUAGGCCUUGGCUCGCCCAGUGAGGUCUGGGAUUGGACCACGUCCUUUUAGAAGAGUUACAAAGAAGUUCCCUCUCGCUCCCAGUUCUCCCAAGAGCUCAGGCAUCCUUUCUCAACUCUGGGGAAAAAGCUGCUAUCCUAGUCCACACACAACGUACCAUGGUUGCGCUAAGUACUUCAAACUCAUACUUCUUGGAGCUGGAGCUGUGGAUUAGAUUAUAAUUGACUACAUUUCCGUUGCUCAGACUUGAUCAGUGAACUGAUUUGGAAGCCCCCAUCUCCCCAAUCCCCCAAUUUCCUGGUCUUCUCUCAGCUGUUUAUUCCACCGUAGAUUCCUGUAAGUGCGCAGAACUUUACUGGGUAACUGUUGACUGAGAAGUGCCUACCUUAGUCCCUACUUCAUACCUAUAACAUCAGUGAAACCUAAGAACCUCAGAGGAAGAGAGACCGACUCAGAGAAAGAAGCAACUUGGGCUGACUGAGGAGUGCACACCACUCUGAGAACCGGUGUGGAAUCCGCUCAGUCUAACGGCGGAAGAAACGGUGCCGCCCACUGCCACUUAGGUGCUGUUCCGGACCAGAAGUUCCAGUGAGAUUGUGAAAAGCGGCAGGCUGCGCGGGACUGCGAAGGACUGCAGAUGUUUGGAGCUGGUCUGUGAUUAGCUUGGGCCCUGAAGUUUUUCUGAAGGGAAAAAAAAAAAAAAAUCUUUGAACGUUACAAUGAGUUCUUGAAACGUUCCUGCCUUUCUCAUUCCCUCCAGAUCAGCAGUUCUCAACCAGUGGGUCGCGGCCCCUUUUGGGGUCAAACGACCCUUUCAGAGGGAUCACCGUCGGAAAACACAGAUGCCACAAUUCAUAACAGCAAAAUCACAGUUAUGAAGUAGCAACGAAAUUUUAUGGCUUGGAGUCACCACAGCAUAAGGACCAUGGAAAAGUUGAGAGAAAAGAAGUUGACUUUUUUUCUAAACUUAACACGUGAACACCCACAUCCCUUUCCUGAAGGACGUGGGCAUUGUGUUCCUGAAAGUUCUAGAUUGCCUUUUGUAAUUCAUAUUUUAUCUCAAAAUAAUGUAGGCCAUCAGUUCAAAAGGCCAAGGUCUUUAAUAAGAUUGUAACGUAGUUAGGGAAAUUUAUGCGAUUUUAUUGAAAUCCGCAGAGAAAUCAACUCUACGAUUCUUCGAAGCGUAGUUUGCUCUGCCUACAAGUAGAGAAAUUAGCAGUACUUAUUUUUGAAAGUUUUUUUUAUCUCUUCCUAGUUGUAGAUGGAUGUAGUGUUCAACCUCUUCCAGCUGCCAGUGUCAGACCAAAGACAACCCAACUUUAGAAUGAGCUUUGGGUCCAGGCAGCCCUGAACAGGCGGGUCCAAGAGGGUAGCUUUCUUUACAUGAUCAACACGACAAAAAUAUUCACGUACAAAAUCUGUUUAAUGAUUACUCACGUAAGUAGGUUUAUAGAGACAGAAAAGAAUUCCACACUUUAACCAAGCAAAACAUAGUUCUAGUGGCGAAGCCCUGGCAACAGGCGCUGAGAGAGCACUGAGUAA